rnacentral:rRNA from 1 species
CCUACGGGGGGCUGCAGUGGGGAAUAUUGGACAAUGGGGGGAACCCUGAUCCAGCCAUGCCGCGUGUGUGAAGAAGGCCCUCGGGUUGUAAAGCACUUUCAGUGAGGAAGAACGCCUGGUGGUUAAUACCCAUCCGGAAAGACAUCACUCACAGAAGAAGCACCGUCUAACUCCGUGCCAGCAGCCGCGGUAAUACGGAGGGUGCGAGCGUUAAUCGGAAUUACUGGGCGUAAAGCGCGCGUACGUGGCUUGAUAAGCCGGUUGUGAAAGCCCCGGGCUCAACCUGGGUACGGCAUCCGGAACUGUCAAGCUAGAGUGCAGGAGAGGAAGGUAGAAUUCCCGGUGUAGCGGUGAAAUGCGUAGAGAUCGGGAGGAAUACCAGUGGCGAAGGCGGCCUUCUGGACUGACACUGACACUGAGGUGCGAAAGCGUGGGUAGCAAACAGGAUUAGAUACCCGAGUAGUC